GACGAACGCUGGCGGCGUGCCUAAUACAUGCAAGUCGAACGCAUUUUCUUUCACCGUAGCUUGCUACACCGAAAGAAAAUGAGUGGCGAACGGGUGAGUAACACGUGGGUAACCUGCCCAUCAGCGGGGGAUAACACUUGGAAACAGGUGCUAAUACCGCAUAAUUCCAUUUACCGCAUGGUAGAUGGAUGAAAGGCGCUUUUGCGUCACUGAUGGAUGGACCCGCGGUGCAUUAGCUAGUUGGUGGGGUAACGGCCUACCAAGGCUGCGAUGCAUAGCCGACCUGAGAGGGUGAUCGGCCACACUGGGACUGAGACACGGCCCAGACUCCUACGGGAGGCAGCAGUAGGGAAUCUUCGGCAAUGGACGCAAGUCUGACCGAGCAACGCCGCGUGAGUGAAGAAGGUUUUCGGAUCGUAAAACUCUGUUGUUAGAGAAGAACAAGGAUGAGAGUGGAAAGUUCAUCCCUUGACGGUAUCUAACCAGAAAGCCACGGA
rnacentral:rRNA from 1 species